CGGGGUGUCGUAUAGUGGCAUUAUGUACGCUUCGGGUGCGUAAAACCCGGGUUCGAUUCCCGGCACCCCGA
rfam:Candidatus Adlerbacteria bacterium RIFCSPLOWO2_01_FTLL_51_16 rifcsplowo2_01_scaffold_21852, whole genome shotgun sequence.